rnacentral:rRNA from 1 species
UUNUGAACUGGGUAGCUAGAGUAUNUCAGAGGGGGGUAGAAUUCCACGUGUAGCAGUGAAAUGCGUAGAGAUGUGGAGGAAUACCGAUGGCGAAGGCAGCCCCCUGGGAUAAUACUGACGUUCAUGCCCGAAAGCGUGGGUAGCAAACAGGAUUAGAUACCCUGGUAGUCCACGCCCUAAACGAUGUCGAUUAGCUGUUGGGCAACUUGAUUGCUUAGUAGCGAAGCUAACGCGUGAAAUCGACCGCCUGGGGAGUACGGUCGCAAGAUUAAAACUCAAAGGAAUUGACGGGGACCCGCACAAGCGGUGGACGAUGUGGAUUAAUUCGAUGCAACGCGAAGAACCUUACCUGGUCUUGACAUGUACGGAAGAACUCAGAGACGAGUUUGUGCCUUCGGGAGCCGUAACACAGGUGCUGCAUGGCUGUCGUCAGCUCGUGUCGUGAGAUGUUGGGUUAAGUCCCGCAACGAGCGCAACCCUUGUCAUUAGUUGCCAUCAUUAAGUUGGGCACUCUAAUGAGACUGCCGGUGACAAACCGGAGGAAGGUGGGGAUGACGUCAAGUCCUCAUGGCCCUUAUGACCAGGGCUUCACACGUCAUACAAUGGUCGGUACAGAGGGUAGCCAAGCCGCGAGGCGGAGCCAAUCCCAGAAAACCGAU